rnacentral:misc_RNA from 1 species
UCUCCGUAGGUGAACCUGCGGAGGGAUCAUUACUGAGUGAGGGCCCUCGCGGUCCGACCUCCAACCCUUUGUCGUCCGACUCUGUUGCCUCGGGGGCGACCCCAGGUCCUUCGGGACCGGGGGGCUCCCGGCGGUCCACACAACUCUGCAUCUUUGCGUCUGAGUAAACAUUAAAUGAAACAAAACUUUCAACAACGGAUCUCUUGGUUCUG